GUCUCUUGCUCCAGCCAGAGCUCGAGGUUAGCUCUUCACUGCCCUGUGUCUUCUUUCCAAGGGUCUCGGUGAUUCGGCCACAGCCUCAGCCUCCAUCACGCGGUGAACUGAUGGUGCUGGAAGAUUCAUAGACUCCAGGACAUUCCUGAAGCCGAGAAAAGGUUAAGUAGGGUCUGGCCUGGAAUACUCUCCUAGAUGAAGAUAGCCCAACCAUGAGCCACCUUCGAAGCAGAUGAGAUGAAAUUAAAGCUCUUCAACUCCUAAAGGCCCAGAGACUAUCACAAAAGAGGUGGUCUUGAAUGCAAGUUUCUGAUAACUUUGGAGAUGGUGACAUCAGAGUAGAGGAAAAAAAUUCAGAACUCAUGGAGAGCUGAAAUGUUCAUGAAUAUUAAGCAGAACAAGGAUUAAGUGCAUGCAUUGAACUAUUAGAAGACUGAAGUAAUCUUUUUUUCUUUUUUUGAGUCGGGGUUUCACUCGGUCUUCCAGGCUGGAGUCCAGUGGUGUGAUCUCAGCUGAAUUACAGAUGCAUGCCACCACACCUGGCUAAGUUUUGUAUUUUUAGU
rnacentral:lncRNA from 10 species